GUCUGAUGAAAGGUAUAAUGUGUGUCUGAUGACAGGUAUAAUGUGUGUCUGAUGACAGGUAUAAAGUCUGUGUCUGAUGACAGGUAUAAUGUCUGUGUCUGAUUACAGGUAUAAUGUCUGCAUCUCAUGAUAGGUAUAAUGUUUGUGUCUGAUUACAGGUAUAAUGUCUGUGUCUCAUGUCAGGUAUAAUGUUUGUGUCGAGGACAGGUAUAAUGUCUGUGUCUGAUUACAGGUAUAAUGUCUGUGUCUGAUGACAGGUAUAAUGUCUGUGUCUGAUGACAGGUAUUAUGUUUGUGUCUGAUGACAGGUAUAAUGUUUGUGUCUGAUGACGGGUAUAAUAUCUGUGCUGAUGAC